AUUGAACGCUGGCGGCAGGCCUAACACAUGCAAGUCGAACGAGUGGCGGACGGGUGAGUAAUGUCUGGGAAACUGCCUGAUGGAGGGGGAUAACUACUGGAACCGGUAGCUAAUACCGCAUACCAUCGGAUGUGCCCAGAUGGGCUUAGCUUGUUGGUGGGGUAACGGGUCACCAAGGAGACGAUCCCUAGCUGGUCUGAGAGGAUGACCAGCCACACCGGAACUGAGACACGGGCCAGACGCCUACGGGAGGCAGGAGUGGGGAAUAUUGGACAAGGGGCGCAAGCCUGAUGCAGCCAUGGCGAGGGUAUGAAGAAGGCCGUCGGGGUGUAAAGUACUUUCAGCGGGGAGGCGGUACCCGCAGAAGAAGCACCGGCUAACUCCGUGCCAGCAGCCGCGGUAAUAC
rnacentral:rRNA from 1 species